CUUAACAGGUGGCUUGCCAGCAGAAUGGGACUCAAUUGCUGAGAGAUAUUGCAAACAAGUCAGGAUUUGGAAAACUAGCUGGCAUAGGAAACUACUUCAGCUCGAGUCCCUCUGAGAGAGGCAUGUUUCCACACACUAAAAGAAAAUUAAAGCAAGGAGGACAACUCCCUAAAAAUAUUGCUCCAUUUAAAAUUUUCUGAGACACCCUCUACUUUAUUGUCAGCCAUCAGAUGGAACUACUUGAUUUCUGCAGAACAAACAGAAAAAAGAAAAAAAGGGUGGACUGACUCUUGGGGAAAUUUUAGUACUCAGUGAAUAAAUUCACUUUGCUGGGUCCUGGCGACACAAGGAUUAAUGAAGAGCUGUACUUGAACUUCAGGAGCAAAUUCUACCAGCAUGUCAGACCCACCCCUGACUCCAAGUUUCUCACUUCAGCCCGGCAUGGAGCUGUCUUUUUCACAUCCCCGUGCACUUGAUGAAAUCACAGUUCAGUAGAUCAGAACCCCCUUAACAAUCUACACAAAGACUGCUACUAAAUAAUUGGUGUCAAUCAAAGAGAAAAACCCUAAAACACAUAAAACUGUGUCCUGUUCUUUAUCAUGU